rnacentral:lncRNA from 1 species
GCCAUUUCAACUGUGUAGAGAGUAACAGGCAGGCUUGGGAGCCAAACCAAGUGAAAGACCCGCUCGAAAUGCCCCUGAGCCCCCUGCCCCGAAGCUGCCGGGGCCUCCCAAGCCUUCACCCCGGCAGGGCUCGCGCCCCCGGCCCGCCCCGCCUGGCACCGAGCCUCGGGGCUGGGGCCGAGCAACGAGCACCAGAUGGGCAGGCCCGAGAACGAGCACCAGGUAGGCUGGGGCCGAGCAACGAGCACCAGGUGGGCCGGCACGAGGGCGAGCACCAGGUGGGCCGGCACGAGGGUGAGCACCAGGUGGGCCAGCACGAGAACGAACACCAAGGGAGCCGGCCUGGAGCCCUGCCCCUGAGCCCCGCCCGAUGAGAAACACUCCGUCCCAAGGUCUCCGCCCCCAAGGUCAGCCAUCUGGACGCGGAGGGAGGGGGAAUUGAGUCUGUUGUACCAGACACCAGACCUUGAGAAUAUGCUGAUCUGGAAUGGCUCUGUGUCUUAUUUGAACCAUCCAAUAGAAAUGAUUCUGUAUUUCGCCUCAUUUGAAAGA